GUAAUUUAUAAAACAGUGCCAAUGUUUUCAUGAAGGGGAGUAAGACUUGUGGUAUAUGAUAUCUUAAAUACAAAUUUUUUUACCAGUAGCCCGCCAGUCCCACAUUUCAGUCCAGAUAGCAGAUGAGUAGCAACUCCAUGGAAGAUGAACCAAGUCCAAGGCUUUGCCAUGUAAUUUAUAAAACAGUGCCAAUGUUUUCAUGAAGGGGAGUAAGACUUGUGGUAUAAGAUAUCUUAAAUACAAAUUUUUUUACCAGUAGCCCGCCAGUCCCACAUUUCAGUCCAGAUAGCAGAUGAGUAGCAACUCCAUGGAAGAUGAACCAAGUCCAAGGCUUUGCCAUGUUAUUUAUAAAACAGUGCCAAUGUUUUCAUGAAGGGGAGUAAGACUUGUGGAAUAAUAUACCUUAAAUACAAGUAAGCAUUACAGCUUGUCUGUGCAGAUUGAUGUUGGAAAUUGCUAUAUGAAAUAACUUUUAAAAAUAUUAAUUACUGUGGCUGAAGGAUAUAAAUGUGUGAUUAUUUCUCCAUACUCCUAAAUUAGAGAUGUUGUGAAGGUUCUUAACAUGUUGACAGCUGGGUGCUCUCUCUUCAGAAGACAAAAGAUUUAAAAUCCCCAUUCUGACAGGACAUGACUGCCAAUCUGUAUAUCCUGUCUGAGUAUCAUGCACUACCAAACAAAUACCUUACUUUUACAUGUAUUUUACUGCAAGUCUGAAGAAGACCACGAGUGACCAUAUUUCCUUUUGGGUCUUUCUAACUCUACCAAAUAGUUUCCAAUAUGAACAGUUCAUAUAAAUCUUGCAUACUUCUUCUUGUAUCAUUUACAUGUUUUUUGAUGGAUUAAACUGUAAAACUAUUGUAAUUUUAGCACUACCAGAGUAAUUAUAAAUGAACUGUUUUACAAAGCAAUUAUUGAAUUUUUCAUGCAUUGAGUUAUCUUGAUCUUUUGAAGAAUAUUUUUAUGCAUUUGGUUCUAACCUAACCUCAAUAAGUAAAUUCGUAGUUUCCAUUUUCUGUUAAAAUUAAUUGCAUAAAUUUACUUUAGGUAAAAAAAUAACAUCAUUGUAGACAUAUUUCUUGUUCAUUUGGGUCUUUUUAAAGGCUAUCUCUUUACUCUUUAAGAUGUUUUUUUCAAACCCCUAAAAAACAGUUUGCUAAACUGACAUGUAAAAUAAGAUUUUUCUUUCUUUAAUUCAUAAUUAUCCAAUAUAUGGAUCUAUUUGUCCAUCAAUAUCUCCAAUUCAAAUCUCCAAUAUUUAAUCCCUAAAGUUCAUGCCUCGGGUAUGUAUAUGUAAAGUUGAGUUACAUUAAAACAGAAUUUAAGGUUUCAGCAACACCUGAGGGAUUGCUGCAGUAAUUUAAUAAGAUAGACAAGUUUUGGUUACCCUGAUCAGGAUUAAAACUACAGAAGAGCACAAAAUUCCCAAGUGAUGAUUUGUUCUUCACAAUUUGUCACCAUAAGAAGAAAUUACAAAUAGAGAGUGAGUGAAGGUAUGACAGUAAACUGGAUUAAGAAUGUUAAAUAAAAUAUGUUUUUGCAAAUUUGGACGACAAUUAAUUGCAAUUAUGUACCAUUUCAACAAUAGAAGAAGUAUCGACUUGCAAAUCCAUACCAAUUUACAACACUGGAAGAAGUAUGGUUGUCUGAGGGAAGCCAAUUGGAAGUACGUACCUUUUAGUGAAGCUAAUUGGGAGCACACCCUCUGUCUUGUUGCGAAGCUGAUUGGAAGCAGUACAUAUAUACCUCUGUCUGCUAAAGCUAAUUAGAAGCAGUACCCUUGGCAGAGAGGUCCCAAUUAGAAGUAUGUAACUCUGAGGGAAGCCAAUUGGAAGCAUGUACCUCUGCAAAAUUUGAUUAAACAAUAUUAAUCAAAUUUUAUUUAACAUUCUUUUUAAAGUUUACUUGCAUACCAACUCUCAUUUUCUAAUGCUUAUGAGUUGUAUUCAUGUAUACUGUAUGUAUAAUAAUUCCCUAGUCAUAAAAGUAUAACAGGAAUUGAUUGUCUUCUGGCGUAUGUGUUAUACAUGUCCAUGUAGGCAUAGCAAUUUUAGCACCAAAAUAUUUUAGUUGUAAAGUGACAUCUUUAUCUAUUUUAUUUCUAACUUGAACUUUGAACAUUGUAUUUUUAGGGAUGUUUUUACUUACAUAUUUACAAACAGAACAAAACAAUAUUCGUCCGAGUAUGUCUCGUGAGACGACUUGUCGCAUUGGGUCGGAGCAUAUAUGACUGUUUAUGCACCGAUGGGUCGGACCCAGGUUUCCAGUUUCCCAUUAUUGGGUUUGUUUGGUUGUUCCUGGCCGGCGAGGUCGUUGAUGAUCGAGUUAUUCAUAAUGUUCAGUUAUUCAGUUUACAUUCAUGUCAACCAUAUUAUAUCUCUUGUUAGUACAAGGUCUACUUUACUAGCUAAGUUGUACCUAAUAGUAUAUUUCAAGGUUUUUGUUAUUAGGAAUAAUUGUGGUUAUUGUUUUUUUCAUAUAUUUAUAUAUUAAGACACAUGUAUAUAAUUAUUUAAUAAAUUCCGUUGUCCACUAUGCUUGCUGGGCUAUCGGCAACACUAUAUAUAUAUAUUGUAUUCAUUUAUGCCUCAGUUAUAAUAGAUAUAAGCGUAUAGGGUAUACAUAUAGUUAUUCAAAUGCAAAAGGUUGACAUGACAUUAUUUCUCUAGUACUGGUACAAGUUAUUGAAAUCAUAUUGUAUAAUGUAUGUUUAUAUUGAUAAUUUGUCUUAUUAAAUGGCAGCUCACAAUAUGCCGUAUUCGAGCUAGUCAACAAACAUAA